rnacentral:rRNA from 1 species
UCGCCUACGGGGCGCAGCAGUGAGGAAUAUUGGUCAAUGGACGAGAGUCUGAACCAGCCAAGCAGCGUGAAGGAUGACUGCCCUACGGGUUGGAAACUUCUUUUAUAUGGGAAUAAAACGUUCCACGUGUGGGCUUUUGUAUGUACCAUAUGAAUAAGGAUCGGCUAACUCCGUGCCAGCAGCCGCGGUAAUACGGAGGAUCCGAGCGUUAUCCGGAUUUAUUGGGUUUAAAGGGAGCGUAGGUGGAUUGUUAAGUCAGUUGUGAAAGUUUGCGGCUCAACCGUAAAAU